AAAGUUAGCAACACUGAUAGUUAAUAAUGGCGGGAAGAUGCUAACAAAUGUCAUUUUGUCUCUUGUUUAGCCCAACAGAACGGGGGAAUUGUUUUCGUUUUAUUCAUGAAAUUGUACCCAAAUCUGAAUUAUAAAUACACAUAGUUGACUUUUAGUUUACCAGAUACGCACGUCUUCAUCAUGAGCGACCAAGAGCCACAGGAGGUAACGAAAAUCACCAGGAAGUCGUUGAGAACAUUACAACGCACGGCUGCAGAUAGAGAAAAUUUAGUGGGUAGACCGAUAAAAGUUUAAAACAUCAACUCUCGCAAGAAAGUCCUUUAGACAUAGGAGAGGUGAAGCGUAAGAAUCUGUCAACGAAGGAGACACAGGCAAACCUGGAUACACAGAUCUCCGAGGAUGACCUCACCAA